GACGAACGCUGGCGGCGUGCUUAACACAUGCAAGUCGAACGGAAAGGCCCUGCUUUUGUGGGGUGCUCGAGUGGCGAACGGGUGAGUAACACGUGAGUAACCUGCCCUUGACUUUGGGAUAACUUCAGGAAACUGGGGCUAAUACCGGAUAGGAGCUCCUGCUGCAUGGUGGGGGUUGGAAAGUUUCGGCGGUUGGGGAUGGACUCGCGGCUUAUCAGCUUGUUGGUGGGGUAGUGGCUUACCAAGGCUUUGACGGGUAGCCGGCCUGAGAGGGUGACCGGCAAAAUGGGAACUGGGUUACGGCCCGAACUCUAACGGGGGGAGGAGGUGGGGAUUAUUGAACAAGGGGCGAAGGCCUGAUGAGGAACGGCGGGGGGCGGAUUGCGGGCUUUCGGGUUGUAACCGCCUUUCGCCGGUAACGAGGCGGAGGUAACGGUAUUGGUAAAGGAGGCACGGGCAAAUUAGGU
rnacentral:rRNA from 1 species